rnacentral:rRNA from 1 species
UCCUACGGGAGGCAGCAGUGGGGAAUAUUGGACAAUGGGGGGAACCCUGAUCCAGCCAUGCCGCGUGUGUGAAAAAGGCCUUAUGGUUGUAAAACACUUAAGCGAGGAGGAGGGUAUUGUGAUUAAUACUCGGGGAGUGACGUACACGC